UGGCCUAACCGAAGGCCUGAGCACAGCUGGGCCACAGAGGAGGGGCAGAUUGAGACCACAGUUCAAUUUUCCCUGUCCCCAGAAAUUCUCCACCACAUCCUAUUUCUCUUGCAUCCAUCCAGGCUCUGAUGCUGUAUCUGCACCCCCCCCCAUCUGUGAGUCCCCCUGAGGGCCUCUCACGGGAGGUCCUUGGCCCUUCCACUGAACGCUUGACCUUCUGAAAUGAAUGGGGACACUUUCUAUAGUUAUUUGAAUUGCGGGAAAGCGGCUCCAGAAUGUCUUGGAGACGUGACUCAGCAAGAUGCAGGUGUCCACGGUGAGUCCUCCCAGUAGGAGGAGAGGAGUCUCCCUGGAAGGCGAGCUGCCCAGAUGUGCCCCUCCAGGGGAACCAGACACCGUCAUGACCUGGAAGGGUCACGCUUGUCCAGGUUUGCAGAACGUGACAGAGGUGGAGAAACUCAAAAGUCCUUAAACACAGGCUCCAGCUGGUGCCCUGGCAGGAACCAGAGUUCACUCAAGCCUUCACAGAAAAGUGCCUUGCAGAGGCGCUGGCCAGGGCGAGGCGAGCAAGGAUUGCUUGGAACUCGGAGAGGAGGGCCCGCAGUGCACGCGGUCGCCACCUCUGGCCUGAGGAGCAGGGCGGAGCCACACUGCUGGGUCCCAGGGAGGCCACACGGGGCACUCCGCAGAAGCUGGGCCUGAAGACCGAAGGUCCCACCUCUUGCCCCAUGCAGGGAAGGCCUGAAGAAUCAGCACCCCAACCUCAGCCUCUCUCUCCAGCCCCCUCUGCAUCCCAGGGGAGCCUCCAUCGGUGGAGCCCAACUCAAAAACAUGGGCAAGGGAGGCUGGACACAAGGCCCCAGUCAACUUGGGAUGGGUGGAGUGGGGUGGGAAGAGCUGGACAGGGACCUGGAGGGCAGCGGGUCCCACCAAGAGCCACCUGCGGACAUCAGGGGCCUCAUCUGGGAAUGCAGUGCCGGGAUGCUCUUGAACAAAUGAAGUUUUGGCAACUCCGGACUCUGGCUAUGAUCAGCUGGGACCACAGAGCUGUGACCCCCAGCUCCUGUCCACGCUGGCUCUCACGGCCACUGGGCUCCCUCACCUGGUCUCCAGCCUGCCCUCUGCCUUCGAGUCCGCCAUGCCCCACCCAGCCAUUGUCAUUUGCAAAUAUCAUAAUAUCUCCUUCCUCUAACAGCUCUGGUUCCACAAAGCCUGUUAUAAGGAGGAAAUGCAACAUGAAUCUGCUGCAGGAAACCGGGAGGCGGCGAGGCUCAGCGCCUUUGGCAGGGAAGAGCACAGAAAAGCCAAAUACGAUUUUUUUCUAUUAACUUUAUAUCCACAGGCUCUUGUCAAGGAGAUAGCUGAUCAGAUCCCAAAAUGAGCAGUUAUGAGGGCUCACUGUCGGAGCCAGGUGCCUCUGGCAGAGGAAUUUAAUUUGGAGAAGUGUCCUAUCUCAAGUAUGGGGCUGGCCUGCUUUCUGGGGCAGGAGGCUGGCCCACCAGGGAGAGGCUUCUCUAGGGGAUGUGUUCCUGUGGCAGAGGCGGCCCCCGGUCAAGCAGAGGAUCCAGAGAGCUUUGGAGGCUCCACCCUCAAGGUCCCCAAGCAUGCAGCCUUUGAGGUUGGGGCUGGGGAGUCACAGUGCAGCAGAGCCCAGGGCGUGCCACGUGGACAGCAUGGCCACCGACUGGACACAGAGAGGAUAGGCCCUGGAGUGGCAGCCCACCAGGGGCACACCAGCAAGUGUGCAAAGAAGGCAAAGGUGCCCUCUCAGGACUGUCAAAAUGGGAAGAUGCUCCCCCUUCUAGGGGAGGUCCUCGAAGAGGCCCCUUCCUGAACUCAGCCAGGGUCAGGGCAGGCACCUGGGAGCAGGUGCUGGCUGGACCCGACCCUCAGCCCUGGGGUGCAACUGAUGACAGCUGGACCCACCCUCACCCCGGUGCAUAUCCCGAGGGGACACCUGCAGGGCCCCUCACUAAGGCCAUGGCCCAGGUGGUGACAGGUGGAAUCAGAAGAAAGGGAAUGAAUGGGCUCUGGAAUCAGAGCACCCAUGUGCCUGCUCAUGGGGCAGGGAGGCUGGCAGCCUCCACACGGGGUGGACCUGGAAGUUUGCUGAGGGAUGGACUCACUGCUGAGUCUCCUGGCCAGGAAAGAUGCCUGCAGGGCCCACAGCAGGGCAGGAAGGAGCUGGGGGCUCAGUGGAGCCAGUGUGAGAAGCAGGGAGGUGUCCAUGAGCUGCGGCCCCUUCCUCAAUCCGGAUCUCCAGGUGAGCUGACAGCCCCUUCCUCAAUCCGGAUCUCCAGGUGAGCUGACAGCCCCUUCCUCAAUCCGCAUCUCCAGGUGAGCUGACAGCCCCUUCCUCAAUCCGCAUCUCCAGGUGAGCCGACAGCCCCUUCCUCAAUCCAGAUCUCCAGGUGAGCUGACAGCCCCUUCCUCAAUCCGCAUCUCCAGGUGAGCUGACAGCCCCUUCCUCAAUCCGCAUCUCCAGGUGAGCUGACAGCCCCUUCCUCAAUCCGCAUCUCCAGGUGAGCCGACAGCCCCUUCCUCAAUCCAGAUCUCCAGGUGAGCUGACAGCCCCUUCCUCAAUCCGGAUCUCCAGGUGAGCUGCGGCCCCUUCCUCAAUCCGGAUCUCCAGGUGAGCUGACAGCCCCUUCCUCAAUCCGGAUCCCCAGGUGAGCUGACAGCCCCUUCCUCAAUCCGGAUCUCCAGGUGAGCUGACAGCCCCUUCCUCAAUCCCGAUCUCCAAGUGAGCUGACAGCCCCUUCCUCAAUCCCGAUCUCCAGGUGAGCUGACAGCCCCUUCCUCAAUCCCGAUCUCCAGGUGAGCUGACAGCCCCUUCCUCAAUCGGGAUCUCCAGGUGAGCUGACAGCCCCUUCCUCAAUCCCGAUCUCCAGGUGAGCUGACAGCCCCUUCCUCAAUCCGGAUCUCCAGGUGAGCUGACAGCCCCUUCCUCAAUCCAGAUCUCCAGGUGAGCUGACAGCCCCUUCCUCAAUCCAGAGCUCCAGGUGAGCUGACAGCCCCUUCCUCAAUCCCGAUCUCCAGGUGAGCUGACAGCCCCUUCCUCAAUCCCGAUCUCCAGGUGAGCUGACAGCCCCUUCCUCAAUCGGGAUCUCCAGGUGAGCUGACAGCCCCUUCCUCAAUCCCGAUCUCCAGGUGAGCUGACAGCCCCUUCCUCAAUCGGGAUCUCCAGGUGAGCUGACAGCCCCUUCCUCAAUCCCGAUCUCCAGGUGAGCUGACAGCCCCUUCCUCAAUCGGGAUCUCCAGGUGAGCUGACAACCCCUUCCUCAAUCCGGAUCCCCAGGUGAGCUGACAGCCCCUUCCUCAAUCCGGAUCCCCAGGUGAGCUGACAGCCCCUUCCUCAAUCCAGAUCUCCAGGUGAGCUGACAGCCCCUUCCUCAAUCCAGAUCUCCAGGUGAGCUGACAGCCCCUUCCUCAAUCCGGAUCUCCAGGUGAGCUGACAGCCCCUUCCUCAAUCCGGAUCUCCAGGUGAGCUGACAGCCCCUUCCUCAAUCGGGAUCCCCAGGUGAGCUGACAGCCCCUUCCUCAAUCCCGAUCUCCAGGUGAGCUGACAGCCCCUUCCUCAAUCCGGACCUCUGGGUGAGCUGCGGGCCCCUGUCUUUGUCCUGCCCAUGGAUGGUCCAGAUCCUGGGAAGGGUCAGGCUCCCCUAGGCCCCAGAGGCAGUGCUGCCAGGCUCUGGAGUUCCAGCACAGUGUGUGCCAUCCAGUGACCCCAGGCCCUCUGCAGACACCUGCUCUCCAUUCGUGUUCUCCCCCUCUCCUCACUGAUUCCCUCCAGGACUCCUCCCCUCAGCCUGGAAUCCACCUCACUGGCGCCCCAGCUCCUGCCUUCUGCAGCUCUGCCCUGUGAGUGUCCUGAACUCUCUCCAGUGAGGCUGGGCCUGGGGCUGAGCUCUUCCUUCCGAGGCACUGACCUUGGAUUGCUGGGACAGAAUGAGUUUGGCAUACCUGCAGGAUGUCUGUUCUAACACAUGCCCCGGGCAGCUCUCCUAGACCUGAUGUCAGCAGAAUUGGCCUCUCCACCAGGAACCUGUGUGGGAGCUGAAAACGUGGCUGGGAGGGCGCCCAGGAACCUGUGUGGGAGCUGAAAACGUGGCUGGGAGGGCGCCCAGGAACCUGUGUGGGAGCUGAAAACGUGGCUGGGAGGGCGCCCAGGAACCUGUGUGGGAGCUGAAAACGUGGCUGGGAGGGCGCCCAGGAACCUGUGUGGGAGCUGAAAACGUGGCUGGGAGGGCGCCCAGGAACCUGUGUGGGAGCUGAAAACGUGGCUGGGAGGGCGCCCAGGAACCUGUGUGGGAGCUGAAAACGUGGCUGGGAGGGGAUGUGGAUGUCAGCCCUGUGUUCCCAUCUCCGCCAAAUGUUGGAGCAGAUCCUCUCACAGGCUCCAAAUGUGCACGUGCAGAAGGGUUUCGGGAACUUUUGCAGCGCUGCCUCCACAACUCAAACAUGGGGCUGAUAGAAUCUCCUUUAUAAAGGCGGCGAUCAUUUCUGCCCAGAAGCUCUUCCAGUUCCUCAUCACUUGGCCUGAGGCUCCACUCCUGACCCCAGAACUGUGCCGGGCUCCCUCAGGCAGCAGGCUCCAGGAAAACAAAGACUCUUUGCUCUAUUUUUUUAAAUGGAAUAAGUGAGUCACAUUCUUUUCAGAAGUAACAUUCCAACGUUAGCACAUAGGAUGAAGUCACAAAUAGCAGAGUGACCACCCGCGACACCUUCGUAGCCCUUGAAGUGCAGUGACAGACACAACGCCCCUCCCUGAACCCAUGGGUGGUGCUUCCUGCAGCUGGGACCAGGUUCCCCUGUCUCCAGCUGAGCUCCAGGCCAGGGAGAGGGACUGCAUUGAAAGGCCAUGUUGCAUGAAAAGCGUGGUUUCUCUGUGGCACAAACACGCCCCCCGGCUCCCUGGAGGAAUGGAGACCCUACGUGGCAGGCAGUGACCACUAAUCGGGUCCAUAGCUUCCCGGUCAGGCUCUGCAGGAGCCACGGCCUCACCCGGGUCCUAGGCUGCUCACCCCCAUGGCAACCAAGCUGGUGGAGAAAGUAAAUCACCGCACGCACAGCGAGAGCUCUGCUGGACGUUGAGAGGGUCAUGGCAACACCUGUCGUCUGCAUUUACCUGUGAGCUGCGGCUCUGGGAGCGCAGCAGCCCCAGUGCGUCCUCACGAGCCUCCUGUCUGAAUAGAACAGAUGCUGUUGCAGGCAUGGGCUAGUCGAGGGACAGAACUGACUCAGGGUAUUUCACAGGGAGGAAAUGCCAUGCAGAGAAGUGGCGGCAUAGCACAGGCGCCAAACCCAAGGGCACAGGGCAGCCCAGAGCUUAGCAGCAGCAGGAAGGCAGCACCACUGCUCUUUAUCUUGGGUUGGAGGAAGAAAGACGGAGGCAAAGCUGGGGCUUCAGUAACGGCAGGUGCUCCCAGAGACAGAGAGGCAUGAGGCUGUGGCCUCCCAUCUCUCCCGCCCUCCGUGUCCUGCUGAGGCCUCCCGUUGGCCAGGGCGGCUGUGGGUGGGCCUGUUCAGGUUCUUGACAUUAGUGCACAAAAAAAUUUGGCAGCAAGUUCAAAGUAAGAGUGGGCAAAGAAGUUCAUUGCAAAGCGGAAGUAGUGGGGUCGGAGCGGGCGGCUCUGGAAUGAGGGCCAGGCUGGCCCUGGAAACUGCUCUGAUGGGGUCUCCCGUGAUCAUUGCUGACGGAGCAGGACGCUGUCGUGCUGUGGGUGGGCUCCCGGGCCUGCACGUGCCAUCACUGUACAUGCUGGUGCAUACCUUGCCUGUCUGAUUUGCAUUUUAAAUCUCAGCCCAGGAUUGUGCUUUUCACUAUUAUGGUGAGCCGAGUUCACCAUAAGGCUAUGGUUCUUGGCUCGGCCUUGGGAACUUUUCCUCCAACCAAGUCACUCCUCCUUCAACAAGAAAGUUGCCCGCUGCAGGUGACCAGAGAUAUCUGCACCAGCCCCUUUCCGGAGAGUCUGUUACUGACCAGGGCCCUGUGCUAACCCAUUGGCCCCAUGUGUCUUGCUCUUAGCCCCCUGCAGGUCACGCCCAUUCCCUCAUUACCCGCCGCUGGAGAACUGUCCAGAAAUGGGGGAUGAGGAGGCCGGGGAGUGCAGCACCCCGGGAAGCAAAUAGGAGCAAAUCCAGGUCAGCAAAUGGGUCCAAGGGCAAAAGCAAGCGGCCCACAUGUCCAUGCAUCUUCGAGUUUCCUGGAAGGGAAGUUUAAAUGUUUGCUGUUUUUAAUACAUUGCGGGGCUUGGGGGCCAAUAUUUUAUCAUGGUAAAGUACGCAUAACACAAAUUGACUAUCCGAACCAUUUUUAAGUGUACAGUUCGAUGAUACUGAGUACAUUGCUUUUGCUAUGUAGCCAUCACCACCAUCCAUCCCACCAUCCCUCCCUCCAUCCCUCCAUCCAUCUCUUCUUCCAUCCCUCCAUCCAUCUAUCCCUUCAUCCCUACAUCCAUUCCUACAUCCACCAAUCCUUCCAUCCACUCCUCCAUUCAUCCAUCCAUCCAUCCUUCCAUCCAUCCCUCCAUCUAUCAUCCAUCCCUCCAUCCACCCUCCAUCCAUCCUUCCAUUCAUCCCUCCAUGUGUCAAUCUCUCCCUCCCUCCCUCCCUC